AGAUUGGAUAUGGCUCAAUCCAAGAAGAAGAAGACCAGUGGGCUUGUAAAGUAUACAGAGGAGACCUUAUUGUACCAAUACCUCAAGAGGAGAUGCGUCAAAUCAAGGGUUUCACUUAUAAUUAUCGCCUUUAUCGUGAUUAGUCUCCGUCCCAAGUCAAAAAGGGGAGGAGUCUGGCUACGCGAGACUAUAUCGUGAUCCUGUAGUUCUGCUGCAAGUUGAACCUAUUGAUCAGAUUCCUUUAGAAGAAAGAGAAAUAGAAUAUCUACAAGCAGUACAACCAACUAGUGUAAGAGUAAAGGAAUACUUAAAUGAAGUGGAUAAGAAGAUGAAGAUGGAUCUGAUUGUUGGUGAUAAAGUUAUCUUCAAAUUAAAGUUAGAGUCAGUCUUCCACAUCAAAAGCCACAACACCACAUGCACAAGUCAAUGGUACAAUAUGUUCUAUUGGUCCUCAUCCUGAUAGUGAUGGAAUAGUCUUUGGUAUUGAAAUUCAAGAUCAAGCAUAUCGUGGUAAAGGCACCAGUAAUGGUAGACCUCAUUUCACUUGUAGACCCAACAAUGCUGUCUUUGUUGCUAUGGAUAAGAUAAUCAAGAAACAAGAUCCACCUUGUACUACUAGUCAGAGAUUACCUGAAUGUCCUCUCACAGAGCAACCUAAAGCCCCCCAUACACUAGUUGCCUAGUGUAUGGGGGGCUUAAACCAACUAUCAGAAGCCAAACAAAACCUACUGCUGCCAGUGGUCAACCUAAAAGUGUUAAAGAUAGAGUAAAAGAUCUUGUAAAAGAGACAAUUUUCUCCAUUGAAGACAACACAGAAGAAAAGGGAGUAAGAUUUGAAGCAGGAGAUGUAUCUGGUCAUAAGUCACGAUUCAAAGAAGGUGAUCGUGUGAUAUUACAGACAGUUAAAGAAGACAUAGUUGCUGGUACAGUGAGGUGGGUGGGACCAAUUAGAAUCUCUAAAGACAUGAAAAUUGAUCCUCUUCCAAUAGUAGGAAUAGAAACAGACAAAAAAUUGAUCCUUCAAAAGAUUUUGAUGGUGUUAACAUUGAAGUCACUGGUAAUCAUGGUACUAAGCUUUUUAAAGUACCAUAUAAUCAUACUCGAGUGUUCCUUCCUGAACAACUGGUGCUCUUUGUUAAAGAGUAUACAAUGCAGAAACAGAAGGAUCACGAUGCUAAAUUUCAACAGGGCCAAAAAGAAUCCAAACAAGAUGAGAAGAGGAACAUCUGAGGGAAGAAGUCAAGCAAGUGCAGGAACAACUAGAAACAGACAAA